rnacentral:rRNA from 1 species
GAUGAACGCUGGCGGCGUGCCUAAUACAUGCAAGUCGAGCGAACGGACGAGGAGCUUGCUCCUCUGACGUUAGCGGCGGACGGGUGAGUAACACGUGGAUAACCUACCUAUAAGACUGGGAUAACUUCGGGAAACCGGAGCUAAUACCGGAUAAUAUAUUGAACCGCAUGGUUCAAUAGUGAAAGACGGUUUUGCUGUCACUUAUAGAUGGAUCCGCGCCGCAUUAGCUAGUUGGUAAGGUAACGGCUUACCAAGGCAACGAUGCGUAGCCGACCCGAGAGGGUGAUCGGCCACACUGGAACUGAGACACGGUCCAGACUCCUACGGGAGGCAGCAGUAGGGAAUCUUCCGCAAUGGGCGAAAGCCUGACGGAGCAACGCCGCGUGAGUGAUGAAGGUCUUCGGAUCGUAAAACUCUGUUAUUAGGGAAGAACAAAUGUGUAAGUAACUAUGCACGUCUUGACGGUACCUAAUCAGAAAGCCACGGCUAACUACGUG